AAAUGUUUCGCGAUUGUCCGUGAAACCGCUUGAGAACGGGAGGCGUGCGCUCGAUGAGGCGUGACGUUUUUCGACCCUAGCCCGGACCACUACAUUAGCAAAGGUUUGCAAAAAAAUACCCAUCGUCUUCUUUCAUGUUGGUCGAUUCCGUGCGGAUAAUCCGGCUCGAGGCUCGAAACAGUUCCUGGUCCGACUUUCAACCCUUUGGGUGCUUUAUCGUGCUGGCUGAUCGGCCCUACACAUUUGUGAUACUCCGUUCCGCAUAGCCCUGGCUCGGACGUUUAAUACUCUCGCUCGUCUCCUGGUACGAGCAGCGCGUGAUGUAAUUAAAUCGACUUUCGUGGGUCGUUGGUAGAUGGUCGAGGGUGGUGGAGGAGUGUGGAGGGAUCAGGGGGUGGAUUAAUCAGCGAAGAGCGGAGGAGGGGUGGUGGUUCCGUUGAUAAGGAUCACGAGGGUGGUGGUGUACGAAUUUAAUAAGGAGGGAGGGAGGGGGAGGAAAUCAAUCUCGAUUUAUUAUCGAGGCUGAUCCUACCUUUUUUCUUCUUUUUCCUUUUUUUUUUUUUUUUUUCCACGUUAAAAAAAAAAAGAGAAGGAGGGUUACGACGACGAUAAGACGAUAAAGAGGAAAGAGAAUCGAGAGCGCGAAGGGAGUAGGGGUGGGGAAGGAGAAGGAGGAGGAGAAGAAGAAUAAAGAAAAGAGAAAAUACGAAUUAAAAAAAAAAAAAAAAAAAAAAAACGAUGCUCGCGUCGCUCGACAUUGCGCCUGUACCAUUUUGCUUCUUUAGCAGAGUACAAUGCCAUUUAUUUUUGUAAUACGUUUACGUAGGAUAGCUAUUAUUUUUAUAGAGGUUUACCGUGCUACCAGUAAGUCUUAUAGAGGCCUGCGAAAAAUAAAAUAGUGUAGGAUUUUUCAUAGCGGAUUCCACGAGAUGCGAGAAUAUUAUUGAUAAAAGUCACUUGGAUGGAUUUUCGAUGAAUUGAAAAGAAAAGAAAAAAGGACACGCACUUCCAGUACUGGCUUUUAUUUUCGACUUUCGUUCGACGACACACGUUUUCACACACGUUUCUUUUAUUACGAGAUUUAUACGUACGUGCAACCAAAGCACCCGGAGCAAUGCUUCUUUAGAGGAACGUCAUCAGGAAUCAAGCACAAGCAAUCCGUAUUUUAACGCCACGAAAUCUUCAUUAGGAUAAAAAUUUGUUGUAGUUCGAUGCAUAUAUUUUAGAAAAUGGGGAAAAUACAGAGCAAUAAAAGAAAGGAAUAUAAAAUAGAGAUAUUUCUUUCUUACGUGAGACAUAAGGCGAUUUUUACCGCAUCGACGAUAAUUUCGCCGAUCCUGAAUAUUCAUUUUUUUACCCGUUAACGAUCGAUUAUCGUAGAGGCGGUACAACGUAGAAAGUAACACGCAAUAUUUCUUCCGCUAAUUACUGCUUUUCGUGAAAUUAAUCCCGGAUGAAACUUCCGAACAAGCCUCUUGACGCGUGUCACGUGAUAAUUUUAAGAUAUUUCAAGAUAAAAAAUGGAAAAAAAACAUAAUAAGGCCGUAUAUAUAUAUAUAUAUAUAUAUAUAUUGAUAAAAUAUAUUUUCAAUAUUUUUCUAUAAUAUUAUCUUUUCAUUUUUAAAAGUAUAUUCUUCGCGAAAGAUUAAUUCAUGACUCGAUAUUGUUUUUUUUUUUUUUCAAGUUGAAAAGUAAAGAUCGUUUCAAGAGACUUGUCACGAACAAGUGGUACAAUUUUCUAAUCAAACAAGAUCAAAUCACAUUAAAGCUAAUAUAUAUAUAGAAUACAUACCUUGAUGCCAUUAUAACGUAAUAAAUAAUUAAAUUAUAGAGCUAUCGAGUCAAAGAAAAUCGCGAAUAUGCGAUACGCGCGAAAAACUUCGAAAAGAAGUUAACCUCUCUCUUGUCGAGCAGUAUUGCAAACGAUGUUUCGUUCGAAGCGUAUCGAUAUUUUUAUAAACGAGUUUGCUAUCUUCAACUAACUUCUCGCGCGUUUCGCCUUGCGAUAUUUCAGAGAUCUCCGUUUCUAACGUCUUCCCCAAUUUUAUUGGAAUUAUUCCAUUGUUUUUUGUUUGGAUAAUGAUUUUUAAUCAAUAGAAACAAUCGAAAUUCGAUUUAUCACAAACAAUAUAAAAGUUAUACAGAACUCAUGUACACAUACAAUGGUCAAAAUCAAUACUUGUAUGGUCUGCAAUAAACCUGGGGAUUUACUAAAUCAAAGAAAAAAGGAGAGAGAGAGAAGAAAAAAAAAAUAAAGAAAAAGUAAAAAAAAAAAGGAAGAAAAUAAAAAGGGGAAAGAUUGAUUGGCUCGUUAGAGCGUAAGUACUAUAUACAGACGUAAGAUUUUUUAUUGCUGAUAUUUUUCCUCAGGUCGAGUCUUGAACGGUGCCUAAAAAGCUUUGAUUAAGGAGAGAUCAAGAAAUAAAAAGCAAGUUCUGAAUUGCGUGUCAAUGAACUUUUUUUAGAAACAAAAAAAAAAAAAGAGGAAGAAGAGAAAAAAAUGGGGAUUAAUUUAUUGGAUUCUCGCGGUGUGUCGUUUCGCGUUGUCCUCGGCAAAAAAAAAAAGAGGAAACAAGAUUGUACGAUUCGAAGAGAAAGAAAAUGAAUUAAAGAGAAGAAAGGAGAAAGCAGGAAGUUAAUAACAAAAAAAGAAAUUAGAUGAUCGAUUCAUCAAAGGAACAAAAGAUUCUGAUGCGACACGACGAUAAAGAUAAGAUAUACCUAUAUACAUACCGUCGAUGCGUAGAAAGUACCAUGUCAUAUAUAUGUAUAUUAUAUAUAACAAAAAUACGCGCGUGUGUAUGUAUGUAUGUGUACGAGUGAAUUUGCAUAUUUGAAAAAUUUGUGUGCGUAUGAGUGUGCGUGAAAUGUUAAAUAAAAGGAUUAUGUAGUGCUCCAUUUAAGGAAAGCACGCAGGCUGCGGCGAAAAUUGUGCUGCAACCGGUUAUAGAAUUAUUUUUCUGUCAAAAAGUAGGUCGACUGUGCCAUGGAGCAAGUUUUCUUCGGUCCAAAGUCUUAUCAAGAAAAUGAACUUUCAAUAUUGUAAAAUAUGCAUAUAAUUAGUUUUCAAGAAAUGAAAUGUGUAUUGUAAAACAAGUGCAUGAAAAGUAUAGGUAAAUAUAUUUUUUUUCUAACAGUAUAAGGUUAUGUUUUUAUUAGGAGCAUUAAAAUUUUUAUUAAAAUUUGAAAAUUCGAAUAAUCAAAAUUUUAAAUGAAUGACGAAACAAUUGAAUGUGAAAAAAAUAUUUGUCGAAAGAAAUCGAUUAUUAAUUUAUUAAAAGAGGCACGUAUUUUACGAUAUUACACGAUUUCUUCGAAUUAUGUAAAAUGUGUAACACGAAACAAAUUUGCUCCAUGAUAUUGCUUAUUUUUACACAGAAAAUAUGAUUUAGUUUCUAAUAGCAGCACUACUUUUGACGCAUCUUGUCUAAUCGAAGAGAAUAAUUUAAAGCUAACAGAUCUAAUAUAAAGGACAAUGAACAAGUAGAUAGGUUACGCCGAUACAUGUAUGUACCUAUAAAAUAUAAGACGAGAGUACGCACUUUUGUAAUAGUAGUUUUGAGAAAUAAAAACGAAAAAAGCGAUAAAUGAUAGUGAAUGAUAUAUAUAUAUGAUAUAUAUAUCACAUAUAUUAGAUAUAUAAAUAUAAAGAAGAAAAAAAGAGUUGACGCUUGAUACACCAUAGUUUUCACCGACAUAUCCUGGUUGAACACAUCCUCUUUACGUACAUACUGCAUACUAGUUCUUAUUAUGAUACCACCACACGAUUACUACACGAGAGUAUAGGGUAUUUUACGAAUAAAAAUGACGAUAAUAUCAUUAUUAUUAAUUAUUAUUAUUGAUUGUCACAGAUUAUUAUUGUUUAUUACGGUUCUUGAUUAAUUAUCGUAUCAUUACGAUUAUGAUUAUCGAGAAUAUAAAUACGUAUAAACGUAACGAUGGUACAACUAAGGCAAGUAUGUACUGUACAUAGCUGUCACUUACCCUCUGCCCCACCAUGCAACUAUAUAAAUAUAUAAAUAUAUAAAUAAAUCUCUAUAUAUAUAUAAAUACAUAAAGCCAUUAUAUUGCAAAACAUUAAUCAUUGUUGUACUAAUGAUUAUUUUGAAAUAUUAUUGUCUUUAUUAUUAUUAUAAUUAUAAUUAUUUUAUCGUAAACAAUUGUAAUUAUUAUUAAUAUUAUUAUUAUUAUUCUUAUUAUUAUUAUUAUUAUUAUUAUCAUCGCUACUUUAUAUGAUUAUCGCGAUAAGAAUAUGUCAAGGCCGCGUGUAAUUUUAAUUAGCAUACGAUAUUAUCAUUUGCGAAAGUAGAUCCUCACUCUUAGCUAAGGAAGAUAGAAAAAUUGUAUUUUCACUUUCUUCACAGAUUGGAUUCUACCUCACUUUUAUUGAUACUACCAUUGAACGACGAAGAAAGUAUGAAAAC